GUCCUCCUCUAGGGGCAAGCUCUUAGCAAUUGACUUUGCAUAACAUAGUGCAUGAAUUUAGAGAAUUCAUUUGAACAUAUGAUGAAUAAAUAUGAUGACAAUAGACAUCCUUGCCAAAGUCCUCUAGAUGGUGAAAAUUAGCUAGCAGGAUGUCCAAUGAUUAGUAGAGCAAACAUGGCAUCACACGUAUAAACUUUGA
rnacentral:lncRNA from 1 species